ACGAUAAAGCACAGGGCUUAAGGUCAAAUCAGAUGUGCUGUGUGAAAGCGUGUCAGCAUGAGUGCUUAAGGCAGAAGGAACUGUCUUUAGGCAGUGCCAGCCAGGACCUCGGGCAGGUGAGUGACGUAGUAGGUAAUGUUCUUGCCGAAGGGGUCUGACAGGUGCUUCGUGAGGCCCUCAAUCGGCUGCGUGCGGGUCACCAGGGCCUGCACGGCGAAGCCAACGAAGGCAACCUGCACGGCGCAAUGGCAAUGAAAACACAAACCUCGAUUGGCAUCAUUCAAAACUGCAACAUGUCAAGCAAACAUCAGAAACGAAGCGCCGUCCGCUUUCCGUUACAUCAGUACUAACAUGCGCUAUAGCUCAAAUCUUACCAUAGCAAGGCGGCCGUUCUUGACCUCCUUGGUGGCCAUCGACGCAGAGUUCAGGCCAGCCGGGUCGAAGGGGAACGAGUUGAUGAAGCCCGACUACGAAUUUGAUAGAAGGCAACGGGCAGGCAGCAGAUGGAGAGGACAAAGUCAGCGAGGGGCAGCAGGAUCUGUGCUAAGGACUAGGCAAGGAGUUUAACAAUAUGCAGAAAGUCGGCACUGCUUCCCAAACAGAUGUUUGCAGGACUUGCGGCGCGAUGGCAGCCUUCCGAGACACCAUAGCAACAAUCGCACAGGCGCUCGUAUGCUACAACGCGUCCAUAGCCCCAAG
rnacentral:lncRNA from 1 species